AGAGUUUGAUCCUGGCUCAGGACGAACGCUGGCGGCGUGCCUAACACAUGCAAGUCGAGCGGAGACAGUGAGUAGCUUACUAUGAGCUGUUUUAGCGGCGGACGGGUGAGUAACGCGUGAGCAACCUUUCCCAGACAGGGGAAUAACACACCGAAAGGUGUACUAAUACCGCAUAAGACCACGGGAUCACAUGGUUCUGAGGUAAAAGAUUUAUCGGUUUGGGGUGGGCUCGCGUCCGAUUAGGUAGUUGGUGAGGUAACGGCCCACCAAGCCGACGAUCGGUAGCCGACCUGAGAGGGUGAUCGGCCACAUUGGGACUGAGACACGGCCCAAACUCCUACGGGAGGCAGCAGUGGGGAAUAUUGGGCAAUGGGGGAAACCCUGACCCAGCAACGCCGCGUGGAGGAAGAAGGUUUUCGGAUCGUAAACUCCUGUCCUUGGAGACGAGUAGAAGACGGUAUCCAAGGAGGAAGCCCCGGCUAACUACGUGCCAGCAGCCGCGGUAAUACGUAGGGGGCAAGCGUUGUCCGGAAUAAUUGGGCGUAAAGGGCGCGUAGGCGGCUCGGUAAGUCUGGAGUGAAAGUCCUGCUUUUAAGGUGGGAAUUGCUUUGGAUACUGUCGGGCUUGAGUGCAGGAGAGGUUAGUGGAAUUCCCAGUGUAGCGGUGAAAUGCGUAGAGAUUGGGAGGAACACCAGUGGCGAAGGCGACUAACUGGACUGUAACUGACGCUGAGGCGCGAAAGUGUGGGGAGCAAACAGGAUUAGAUACCCUGGUAGUCCACACUGUAAACGAUGAUAGCUAGGUGUGGGGGGUCUGACCCCUUCCGUGCCGGAGUUAACGCAAUAAGCUAUCCACCUGGGGAGUACGACCGCAAGGUUGAAACUCAAAGGAAUUGACGGGGGCC
rnacentral:rRNA from 1 species